AACGAACGCUGGCGGCACGCCUAACACAUGCAAGUCGAGCGCACUUAUGAUCUUCGGAUUAUAGGCGAGCGGCGGACGGGUUAGUAACGCGUGGGAACGUACCCUUUACUACGGAAUAGCCUUUGGAAACGAAGAGUAAUACCGUGUACGCCCUUUGGGGGAAAGAUUUAUCGGUAAAGGAUCGGCCCGCGUUAGAUUAGAUAGUUGGUGGGGUAAUGGCCUACCAAGUCUACGAUCUAUAGCUGGUUUGAGAGGAUGAUCAGCAACACUGGGACUGAGACACGGCCCAGACUCCUACGGGAGGCAGCAGUGGGGAAUCUUAGACAAUGGGCGAAAGCCUGAUCUAGCGAUGCCGCGUGAGUGAAGAAGNCCUUAGGGUCGUAAAACUCUUUCGCCAGAGAUGAUAAUGACAGUAUCUGGUAAAGAAACCCCGCUAACU
rnacentral:rRNA from 1 species